AGCUUUCUGUAUUCGUGCUGAGACUUCGUCACACACCAGAUCACAAGGACUGAUGAGACUUCCAAGAUAAGUGAAGCG
rfam:Schistosoma curassoni strain Dakar, Senegal genome assembly, scaffold: SCTD_scaffold0001722